rnacentral:rRNA from 1 species
UGUGUGUUAGUGGAAGCGUCUGGAAAGGCGCGCGAUACAGGGUGACAGCCCCGUACACAAAAAUGCACAUGCUGUGAGCUCGAUGAGUAGGGCGGGACACGUGGUAUCCUGUCUGAAUAUGGGGGGACCAUCCUCCAAGGCUAAAUACUCCUGACUGACCGAUAGUGAACCAGUACCGUGAGGGAAAGGCGAAAAGAACCCCGGCGAGGGGAGUGAAAAAGAACCUGAAACCGUGUACGUACAAGCAGUGGGAGCACGCUUAGGCGUGUGACUGCGUACCUUUUGUAUAAUGGGUCAGCGACUUAUAUUCUGUAGCAAGGUUAACCGAAUAGGGGAGCCGAAGGGAAACCGAGUCUUAACUGGGCGUUAAGUUGCAGGGUAUAGACCCGAAACCCGGUGAUCUAGCCAUGGGCAGGUUGAAGGUUGGGUAACACUAACUGGAGGACCGAACCGACUAAUGUUGAAAAAUUAGCGGAUGACUUGUGGCUGGGGGUGAAAGGCCAAUCAAACCGGGAGAUAGCUGGUUCUCCCCGAAAGCUAUUUAGGUAGCGCCUCGUGAAUUCAUCUCCGGGGGUAGAGCACUGUUUCGGCAAGGGGGUCAUCCCGACUUACCAACCCGAUGCAAACUGCGAAUACCGGAGAAUGUUAUCACGGGAGACACACGGCGGGUGCUAACGUCCGUCGUGAAGAGGGAAACAACCCAGACCGCCAGCUAAGGUCCCAAAGUCAUGGUUAAGUGGGAAACGAUGUGGGAAGGCCCAGACAGCCAGGAUGUUGGCUUAGAAGCAGCCAUCAUUUAAAGAAAGCGUAAUAGCUCACUGGUCGAGUCGGCCUGCGCGGAAGAUGUAACGGGGCUAAACCAUGCACCGAAGCUGCGGCAGCGACGCUGAUGCGUUGUUGGGUAGGGGAGCGUUCUGUAAGCCUGCGAAGGUGUGCUGUGAGGCAUGCUGGAGGUAUCAGAAGUGCGAAUGCUGACAUAAGUAACGAUAAAGCGGGUGAAAAGCCCGCUCGCCGGAAGACCAAGGGUUCCUGUCCAACGUUAAUCGGGGCAGGGUGAGUCGACCCCUAAGGCGAGGCCGAAAGGCGUAGUCGAUGGGAAACAGGUUAAUAUUCCUGUACUUGGUGUUACUGCGAAGGGGGGACGGAGAAGGCUAUGUUGGCCGGGCGACGGUUGUCCCGGUUUAAGCGUGUAGGCUGGUUUUCCAGGCAAAUCCGGAAAAUCAAGGCUGAGGCGUGAUGACGAGGCACUACGGUGCUGAAGCAACAAAUGCCCUGCUUCCAGGAAAAGCCUCUAAGCAUCAGGUAACAUCAAAUCGUACCCCAAACCGACACAGGUGGUCAGGUAGAGAAUACCAAGGCGCUUGAGAGAACUCGGGUGAAGGAACUAGGCAAAAUGGUGCCGUAACUUCGGGAGAAGGCACGCUGAUAUGUAGGUGAGGUCCCUCGCGGAUGGAGCUGAAAUCAGUCGAAGAUACCAGCUGGCUGCAACUGUUUAUUAAAAACACAGCACUGUGCAAACACGAAAGUGGACGUAUACGGUGUGACGCCUGCCCGGUGCCGGAAGGUUAAUUGAUGGGGUUAGCGCAAGCGAAGCUCUUGAUCGAAGCCCCGGUAAACGGCGGCCGUAACUAUAACGGUCCUAAGGUAGCGAAAUUCCUUGUCGGGUAAGUUCCGACCUGCACGAAUGGCGUAAUGAUGGCCAGGCUGUCUCCACCCGAGACUCAGUGAAAUUGAACUCGCUGUGAAGAUGCAGUGUACCCGCGGCAAGACGGAAAGACCCCGUGAACCUUUACUAUAGCUUGACACUGAACAUUGAGCCUUGAUGUGUAGGAUAGGUGGGAGGCUU